AAUGAAGAAAGCGUGCAACUGCCACACAGCCUAAGUGAUGGGAAAUAAUAGUAUAAAGACUACUAACAUCACAAGUAACUAAAUAAUAUUGUUCUUUCCACUGGAUCUUGGAUAAUUCCCUAAUAAGCUGGGUAGAGUCCUUAAGGUAUGUAGGUUUGGACACCACCAAGGGUUGAAGGAGUUUAUGAAUAUACUGUGAUAAGCAGCUCGUAAGGGAAUCUUGUGAUGUUAGUAGUCUUUAUUAGGCUGUGAGGCAGUUGCACACUUUCUUCAU